rnacentral:rRNA from 1 species
AUGAUAUGGGGGAGCUUUGUCCCGCCGUCUAUAAAUUUUUUUGCCUGGAGAGCUGCUGUAAACUCCUUGCCUACAUGGAAGAAUAAGGAGAAGAGAAAUCUGGAGGUGUCGAAUAUGUGUCCAGUGUGUGAUAGGGAAACUGAAGAUUGUUUCCAUGCUCUCUGUCGAUGCCCACUAGCUACCCAACUAUGGGACUGCAUGUCUGAAGUUUGGCAACUGCCCAAGCAAAAGGUGACAGUGAAUACUGGUGUUGAGUGGCUGCUUGAUGCUCUACAUCCACUAGGGGAGAUGGAUCGUGCAAAGUUGCUGUUGACUCUGUGGCGCUGCUGGCAUAACAGGAACGAGGUGGUGCACAACAAAACUCCGGCCCCGAUGACCGCCUCUCGCCAUUUUCUCUGUGAAUAUUUGGAUUCUCUGAUUUUUUCAAUACAGAGAACGACCCAUGGAUCAUGCAAAGGUAAAGAAGUGGUCUCUUUGAGUACUAGAACAGUACCGUUUCAGGCUAUUUCCAGCAAGGCACCCACUGUUAAAUGGUCUCCUCCUUUGGCGGGCUGGGCGAAACUAAACACGGAUGGAUCAUGGACGGAGGAAGGAAGUGCAAGAGCUGGUAUGUUAUUAAGAGAUCAUCUGGCCAACAUCAUUUUCUCGUCCUGUCGCCAACUCUUCCAAUGUCGAGACACACUAGAAUCUGAACUAUGUGCGGUCAUGGAGGGUUUAUCAAUUUCAAUCCAGAGAUCGGACUUGCCAAUACACAUGGAGAUGGAUUCGCUGUCAGCGGUUAACUUGGUGAAUGGAAUAGGAACAGAUAGGUCUGUUUAUGCUUUGUUGGUUGCAGAGAUCAAACAUUUGAUGUCUCUUCGUCGGACUUGUGUUACUCAUAUUGGUCGAAGUCAAAAUGUGGCUAGUGAUUUUUUAGCAAAAUCUGCUAGAACUGAACAUAGAACCUUAGUCUGGAUGGGUUCAGGCCCCCCAGAAGUCGUUGAUUUUUGUAAGGAGGACUGUAUGAUGAGCCAUGAGUAA